UGCAGUCGUACGCACUGGCCCAACUGAUUGAUGGUGCUUGCACCUGAUUGACGAUGGAUCACCAGUGAGUGGCGGACGGGUGAGUAACACGUAGGUAACCUGCCCCGGAGCGGGGGAUAACAUUUGGAAACAGAUGCUAAUACCGCAUAACAACAAAAGCCACAUGGCUUUUGUUUGAAAGAUGGCUUUGGCUAUCACUCUGGGAUGGACCUGCGGUGCAUUAGCUAGUUGGUAAGGUAACGGCUUACCAAGGCGAUGAUGCAUAGCCGAGUUGAGAGACUGAUCGGCCACAAUGGAACUGAGACACGGUCCAUACUCCUACGGGAGGCAGCAGUAGGGAAUCUUCCACAAUGGGCGCAAGCCUGAUGGAGCAACACCGCGUGAGUGAAGAAGGGUUUCGGCUCGUAAAGCUCUGUUGUUGGAGAAGAACGUGCGUGAGAGUAACUGUUCACGCAGUGACGGUAUCCAACCAGAAAGUCACGGCUAACUACGUGCCAGCAGCCGCGGUAAUACGUAGGUGGCAAGCGUUAUCCGGAUUUAUUGGGCGUAAAGCGAGCGCAGGCGGUUGCUUAGGUCUGAUGUGAAAGCCUUCGGCUUAACCGAAGAAGUGCAUCGGAAACCGGGCGACUUGAGUGCAGAAGAGGACAGUGGAACUCCAUGUGUAGCGGUGGAAUGCGUAGAUAUAUGG
rnacentral:rRNA from 1 species